GAUGAACGCUGGCGGCGUGCCUAAUACAUGCAAGUCGAGCGAACAGAUCAGGAGCUUGCUCCUUUGACGUUAGCGGCGGACGGGUGAGUAACACGUGGGUAACCUACCUAUAAGACUGGAAUAACUCCGGGAAACCGGGGCUAAUGCCGGAUAACAUUUAGAACCGCAUGGUUCUAAAGUGAAAGAUGGUUUUGCUAUCACUUCUAGAUGGACCCCCGCCGUAUUAGCUAGUUGGUAAGGUAACGGCUUACCAAGGCAACGAUACGUAGCCGACCUGAGAGGGUGAUCGGCCACACGGGAAGUGAGACACGGUCCAGACUCCUACGGGAGGGAGCAGUAGGGAAUCGUCGGCAGUGGGCGAAAACCUGACGGAACAACGCCGCGUGAGAGACGGAGGUCUUCGGAGCGUAAAACUCUGUUAUUAGGGAAGAACAGAUGUGGAAGUAACUGUGCACGGCGUGACGGUACCUAAUCAGAAAGCCACGGCUAACUACGUG
rnacentral:rRNA from 1 species